UUGUAGGACACUCUAUACGGAGUUACAAAGGACGACAUUAGACGAAUCAUCUGGAAAGAUGAAUCAAAGAAGGUAAUAAUCCUGUAGUCGAAAAUGUUGUCUCUCUUGAGUGGAUCCUGAGUACGACGGAGCACGUGAAAUUCCGUCGGAAUCUGGGAGGACCAUCUCCUAAGGCUAAAUACUCUCUAGUGACCGAUAGUGAACCAGUACCGUGAGGGAAAGGUGAAAAGCACCCCGGAAGGGGAGUGAAAUAGAACCUGAAACCGUGUGCUUACAAGUAGUCAGAGCCCGUUAAUGGGUGAUGGCGUGCCUUUUGUAGAAUGAACCGGCGAGUUACGAUUUGAUGCAAGGUUAAGCAGUAAAUGUGGAGCCGUAGCGAAAGCGAGUCUGAAUAGGGCGUUUAGUAUUUGGUCGUAGACCCGAAACCAGGUGAUCUACCCUUGGUCAGGUUGAAGUUCAGGUAACACUGAAUGGAGGACCGAACCGACUUACGUUGAAAAGUGAGCGGAUGAACUGAGGGUAGCGGAGAAAUUCCAAUCGAACCUGGAGAUAGCUGGUUCUCUCCGAAAUAGCUUUAGGGCUAGCCUCAAGUGAUGAUUAUUGGAGGUAGAGCACUGUUUGGACGAGGGGCCCCUCUCGGGUUACCGAAUUCAGACAAACUCCGAAUGCCAAUUAAUUUAACUUGGGAGUCAGAACAUGGGUGAUAAGGUCCGUGUUCGAAAGGGAAACAGCCCAGACCACCAGCUAAGGUCCCAAAAUAUAUGUUAAGUGGAAAAGGAUGUGGCGUUGCCCAGACAACUAGGAUGUUGGCUUAGAAGCAGCCAUCAUUUAAAGAGUGCGUAAUAGCUCACUAGUCGAGUGACACUGCGCCGAAAAUGUACCGGGGCUAAACAUAUUACCGAAGCUGUGGAUUGUCCUUUGGACAAUGGUAGGAGAGCGUUCUAAGGGCGUUGAAGCAUGAUCGUAAGGACAUGUGGAGCGCUUAGAAGUGAGAAUGCCGGUGUGAGUAGCGAAAGACGGGUGAGAAUCCCGUCCACCGAUUGACUAAGGUUUCCAGAGGAAGGCUCGUCCGCUCUGGGUUAGUCGGGUCCUAAGCUGAGGCCGACAGGCGUAGGCGAUGGAUAACAGGUUGAUAUUCCUGUACCACCUAUA
rnacentral:rRNA from 1 species